UUGAUAGGCAGGGUGUGUAAGCGUUGUGAGGCGUUGAGCUAACCUGUACUAAUUGCCCGUGAGGCUUAACCAUACAACACCCAAGGGGUUUUGUA
rnacentral:rRNA from 1 species